rnacentral:rRNA from 1 species
CCUACGGGAGGCAGCAGUGGGGAAUAUUGCACAAUGGGGGAAACCCUGAUGCAGCGACGCCGCGUGAGUGAAGAAGUAUCUCGGUAUGUAAAGCUCUGUCAGCAGGGAAGAAAAUGACGGUACCUGACCAAGAAGCCCCGGCUAACUACGUGCCAGCAGCCGCGGUAAUACGUAGGGGGCAAGCGUUAUCCGGAUUUACUGGGUGUAAAGGGAGCGUAGACGGCCUUGCAAGUCUGGUGUGAAAGCCCGGGGCUCAACCCCGGGACUGCAUUGGAAACUGCAUGGCUGGAGUGCAGGAGAGGUAAGCGGAAUUCCUAGUGUAGCGGUGAAAUGCGUAGAUAUUAGGAGGAACACCAGUGGCGAAGGCGGCUUACUGGACUGUAACUGACGUUGAGGCUCGAAAGCGUGGGGAGCAAACAGGAUUAGAUACCC